AUUGAACGCUGGCGGCAUGCCUUACACAUGCAAGUCGAACGGCAGCACGGGUGCUUGCCCCUGGUGGCGAGUGGCGAACGGGUGAGUAAUACAUCGGAACAUGUCCUGUAGUGGGGGAUAGCCCGGCGAAAGCCGGAUUAAUACCGCAUACGAUCCACGGAUGAAAGCGGGGGCCCUUCGGGCCUCGCGCUAUAGGGUUGGCCGAUGGCUGAUUAGCUAGUUGGUGGGGUAAAGGCCUACCAAGGCGACGAUCAGUAGCUGGUCUGAGAGGACGACCAGCCACACUGGGACUGAGACACGGCCCAGACUCCUACGGGAGGCAGCAGUGGGGAAUUUUGGACAAUGGGCGAAAGCCUGAUCCAGCAAUGCCGCGUGUGUGAAGAAGGCCUUCGGGUUGUAAAGCACUUUUGUCCGGAAAGAAAUCCUUGGCUCUAAUACAGUCGGGGGAUGACGGUACCGGAAGAAUAAGCACCGGCUAACUACGUG
rnacentral:rRNA from 1 species